rnacentral:rRNA from 1 species
GCAUGUCUAGUAUAAGCAUUAUACAGCGAAACUGCGAAUGGCUCAUUAAAUCAGUUAUCGUUUAUUUGAUAGUACCUUACUACUUGGAUAACCGUGGUAAUUCUAGAGCUAAUACAUGCUAAAAAUCCCGACUCACGAAGGGAUGUAUUUAUUAGAUUAAAAACCAAUGCCCUUCGGGGCUCUUUGGUGAUUCAUAAUAACUUUUCGAAUCGCAUGGCCUUGCGCCGGCGAUGGUUCAUUCAAAUUUCUGCCCUAUCAACUUUCGAUGGCAGGGUCUUGGCCUGCCAUGGUUACAACGGGUAACGGAGGGUUAGGGCUCGACCCCGGAGAAGGAGCCUGAGAAACGGCUACUACAUCCAAGGAAGGCAGCAGGCGCGCAAAUUACCCAAUCCCGAUUCGGGGAGGUAGUGACAAUAAAUACUGAUACAGGGCUCUUUUGGGUCUUGUAAUUGGAAUGAGUACAAUUUAAAUCCCUUAACGAGGAACAAUUGGAGGGCAAGUCUGGUGCCAGCAGCCGCGGUAAUUCCAGCUCCAAUAGCGUAUAUUAAAGUUGUUGCAGUUAAAAAGCUCGUAGUUGAACCUUGGGCCUGGCUGGCCGGUCCGCCUCACCGCGUGCACUGGUUCGGCCGGGCCUUUCCCUCUGGGGAACCCUAUGGUCUUUACUGAUCGUAGCGGGGAACCAGGACUUUUACUGUGAAAAAAUUAGAGUGUUCAAAGCAGGCCUAUGCUCGAAUACAUUAGCAUGGAAUAAUAAAAUAGGACGUGUGGUUCUAUUUUGUUGGUUUCUAGGACCGCCGUAAUGAUUAAUAGGGACAGUCGGGGGCAUCAGUAUUCAAUUGUCAGAGGUGAAAUUCUUGGAUUUAUUGAAGACUAACUACUGCGAAAGCAUUUGCCAAGGAUGUUUUCAUUAAUCAGGAACGAAAGUUAGGGGAUCGAAGACGAUCAGAUACCGUCGUAGUCUUAACCAUAAACUAUGCCGACUAGGGAUCGGACGGUGUUAUUUUUUGACCCGUUCGGCACCUUACGAGAAAUCAAAGUCUUUGGGUCUGGGGGAGUAUG